CGAUUCGUAUUUUAAGAAAUAUUUUUUGCAAAUGCCUAAACUAAAAAAUUAUAAUGUGAUAAAAUUAAAUUCUCUUUGCAGGGGAAAAUAAGUAAAAUUGUCAAAUUUGUUGUUACAAUGAAUGUACGUUGGCGGUAAUAAUUUUCAUAUAAAAUAUGAUGUUCAUACCAACUGAACUAAGCUCUUGUGGAUACUUUGUACAAGAUAUUUUAUUCUCUUAUUCUUUACAUCGGGUAUUAAAUGCUUGCAAUUUGUUAUGUAUGAAGAGCAUGAGAUUUAUAAAUUAUAAAGUGAUAAAAUCAUAUUUUACUUAUACAUGUAAAUGGGGAAAGCUAUGUCUGAAAUCAUCAAUUAUUGAUGGUAAACCUUUUCUUUAUCAUUUUUAAAUUUCCUUAUUUACUUCAUAUAUAAUAUUUUUUUUUAUCUUAUUAAUUUUAGUUACAUUCUUUUAUUCCCUUUAUUCAAUACAGCGGCACGCACCCCAUGUUUACAAGAUUCUGAUUGUCCAAAGAAUAUGUGUAUUCAUCCUUUUAUACCAGGGUGUUUUUCUGGAUAUUGUAGGUGUUAGGAUGAUGCCAUCGAUUCUAUGAGUGCUAGAAUCAAUAAAGUACACAAACUGCUCUAGUAAAAUAU
rnacentral:lncRNA from 1 species